GACUGGUGGCCCUCUGACGUUAUAUAAUUAAUAUGAUGGUCAUGUUUUUACAACAAAAGUCAAAGGAGGAACCUGGUAAAUUAAGACAAGGCUUUUCUAGAUAGGCUUUGCUGUGAGCAGAAUUAAUGAAAGAGUCACAGGGAUGGGGAUGUAGUGUUUAGGACUUGGCCUGCAUUUGGAGGCUUUUUGUUUCACUCGUGCUGUAUUUCCUACUGCUUGCACAGUGGGGAAGAUGUAAGGUUCAUGUUUGUGCAUUCAUAAAAUGGUAAAUUUUGUUGAUGGUUUGUCCCAUACAGGGCACUUUGUGUUGUCCUGCUGACUUUCAAAGGGAUUAACGUCACUUCCCAGUAAGAGUAAUGAAAUCUAGCAGAGUUCUGUGAGCACAGUUCUUGGCCUUUGCCUCUCAUUCAGUGUCAUUUGUUUGCAUGUGUAACAGGAAUAUAUUGAACUAUUAGCAAAGACUUCAGAAAAGUCAGAAAUAUGUAUAUUUUUUCAAGCAACAGCUUUUUUUCACUCUGAUCUUUCCUCAUUAGGCCAGGAUUUUCAAGGUGGGGAAAAACUCUGUGAAACAGAGAGAAAAAUGUCAGUGUCCUUGAGCUCCGCUGGAAUCUCCUACAGGAGACUUCGGGCCAGUUUAGAGGGCUGAUUAGUCCAAAGCCUGCUCUCAGCCUUUCUGUUCUUUAAUCUUCAAGAAAAGCAGUUUUGGUGAAUGGCUCUUCUAAAAUGACUCCAUAUGUCUCUUACAAGGACUCAGUGGAAAGCACGGUUCAGCUGAAGUGAUGCUCAGGCUGAGGAUAUGGGCAUCAGUGGGAGCUGCGAGUCCCCAUGCUGUGUGCAGUGCCCAUUGCCCUGGGAAACUGCCUCUUCUCUCGACAGCUGGACUGCCAUUUGUAUGGCUUCAGUCGCAGUCAUUUUGAAAGCAGCAAACCUACAUCUUGGUCUUAAUUAUUCAAAUAGCAGCUUUUCAGCAAUGUUCAAAUAAAUACUAAGGCUUCCCUGACAAAGCAGCACAGAACUUGUGAAUGCUGCAGUGAAAGGGAGCUCUGGAGUAGCAUACAGAGAGGCUAUUUGUACCAGCUCUUUGGAAAUUAGACACGGUGAGAUGAUAUUUCCUUAUAGCAAUCUUGGGAAGCUCAUCCGGAGCUGAUAGCAAUCAUCUCCUAAGAAAAAAGUGUGCUAACCUCUGGUAAAUAUAUCUCUUGCAAGAAGAAAAAUAAUCUCAUGAGAGGUACUGCCUGGCUUCAAGGAAAGGAGCCUGAGCAAAUGUGCCCGGUGUUUUGGCCUUUCCAGCCAACAAGGCAUGAAGACAGGGAGAUGAAAAGGCAGAUCUUUCCUGUCACAUGAGAGCUGCUAGAGGGGAAAUGAACUGACCCAAAGCAUUGUGUUUGCCCUUGUGUUAGAGGUCUAAUCUAAACAGAUUCAGGGGGAAACUGAGAAGUGAGAUGGUUCCCUGGAAAACCUAUGGCACUGUGGAACAUGUUAUGGAUGUAGCUGUAGCUUCUCCCUCAGGGCAAGCUCUUUCUUGCUGUGCCUCUCCAUUCCAUGCCAUGCGGCGGAUGUCUUUCCUCAGGGAGACAACUCCAACCUUGCAUUGUCUUUGUGAUGAGUGGAAGAUGGAGCAACCAAGCCAACUACUGUUAGUCAAAGGGACAUCUGAUAACCAACAGCCAUCGGAGGGCUCCACUUGGAUGCUUCAUCAGGACAACCUGUGGAGGCUUUUUCAACCUCCAUGUGAGCAGAGGGACAGCCACUGCCUGUUGAAAUUGGCUGGGACACAUGUACAUGCCCAAAUGUGAUGUCAGCUUGGACACAGCUGCAGAAGAAACAAAGCAGCAAGGAACCACGUGCCCGCUGCAGAUCUGGCAGAGAACAUGAGCUGCUUGCUUUUGUUUCUGCAUAGAGUGGGAUCAGAGCAAAGGCACACCUGAAAGCUACCUGGUGAGCACUGAGCUUUCUGCUGCAAAGUAAAACAUGCAGGCUCUGAGUGCACAGCUGAGGGGGGCUUCUGGAGAUGGCUGUCUGAUGAGUUAAACUGGCGAAGAGUAAGGAGGAAGCACAGAAGGCUAUGGUCAGAAGUGAAGCCCAGUUUGUCUCCUCUGGAGGUUCACAGGAACACCAAAGAUCCCAUCCCUAUGUCCACGCCUAAUUUCUAUAGCAGGUGGAACAGGUUCUCCAAACCAGGAGUGAAAGGUAGCAAAGAGACUUUGUUAUAAUGCACUGAUUGAAUAUGCUUCACUGACCAGAUCUGAGUGAUGCAUUUACUUCUAAAGACUUUUUGCCAAGGAAGUAGAGAAAUAUUUGGGAACAUGUUCUUUGGGUUUGGUUCCAAUUUUGGUUUACAGACUUUGCCACCUGUUUCUGAGUGUAAAAUACUUAGUAUUUAGAAACUGACAGCUGUGUUUUCCAGUGGGUUUUUAAGGAACGGAGGUUGAUGUACUUCUGUGGGUAUGUAUGUGUACCUUUACACUCGCUUUUUUUGUUGAUAUCUACAAACUGUGACUUACGCAUGGAGGUCU
ensembl:lncRNA